CAAGGAGAGGCGCAUCUCACGGUUAAACGACGCUUCUCCAAGCUCGUGGGUGGCUCUAAACAGUGACGAUCAGGCUGAAGGUUUGCUUUUCACUUCAGUUUCGUUCUGUGCUUUCAAACGUCUUGAAAAAUUUUCAUACUCCUGCCUUCUACAACUGCACAGCUCUCCGACUCAACAUUGAGAUGACAGCAUUCGAGGGAAUGAUACAUUUUCUGCUGGGUUCAUUUACUAUAACAUACGAAGGACACAAAGGGGAUCAUGACAGAUGAGAAACCUUUACCAGGGCUUUCAGGAGAUGCAGGUGAUUGAUCCUGGGAGGUGAAUGGCCACUACUGUACUUCUACUUCUGAAGGGACCUUAUAUUUUGAGAUGUCUGAAUGUGCUCCAGUGUAGGACUCCCAAUUUUUUCCACUUGCAUUAUGGAACUGAGCAUAGACAGAGUAUGACUUCCUAUUUGUGAUCUUGUUUGUGUUAAUUUGUAAAAUAUCAUGUUGAACUCUGAACUAUUUCGACCUGGUGAAUAUUGUGUGCAUUGUGAUCAAGAAAUUGACUUAGUUUUUAUGUAUCUUUGAUGACUAUUUAGUUUGGGGAU